GGCGACCGUGGCGUACGCGUUCGCCAUCGCGAGCGGCGAGAUGUUCUUCGAACCGAGGAUGUCGAACGGUGCGACCUUGUCGGUCGUCU
rnacentral:tRNA from 1 species